rnacentral:piRNA from 1 species
UAGCAACCUUGUUAAGUUGAGUCUUAUGGU